GAUGAACGCUGGCCGCGUGCUUAACACAUGCAAGUCGAACGGGAAAUAUUUCAUUGAGACUUCGGUGGAUUUGAUUUAUUUCUAGUGGCGGACGGGUGAGUAACGCGUGGGUAACCUGCCUUAUACAGGGGGAUAACAGUCAGAAAUGGCUGCUAAUACCGCAUAAGCGCACAGAGCUGCAUGGCUCAGUGUGAAAAACUCCGGUGGUAUAAGAUGGACCCGCGUUGGAUUAGCUAGUUGGUGGGGUAACGGCCCACCAAGGCGACGAUCCAUAGCCGGCCUGAGAGGGUGAACGGCCACAUUGGGACUGAGACACGGCCCAGACUCCUACGGGAGGCAGCAGUGGGGAAUAUUGCACAAUGGGGGAAACCCUGAUGCAGCGACGCCGCGUGAAGGAAGAAGUAUCUCGGUAUGUAAACUUCUAUCAGCAGGGAAGAUAGUGACGGUACCUGACUAAGAAGCCCCGGCUAACUACGUG
rnacentral:rRNA from 1 species